AAUUGAUAAAAUCGAUACCGCGCUUCCCGCGUGGGGCGAAGCGGCCGGGGAACCGUGCCGUGGACCGCGCGGGAGUGAGAAUGCAGACAUGAGUAGCGAGAGACGGGUGAGGAUCCCGUCCGCUGGAUGACCAAGGGUUCCGGGGCCACGUUCGUCGUCCCCGGGUGAGUCGGGUCCUAAGGCGAGGCCGACAGGCGUAGUCGAAUGGAUGAACGGGUGGAUAUUCCCGUACCGGCGGCGUACCGUAAGAGCCGAACGGAUGAGUACUAACCUCCGGUCGCGUGGCGUCGUUCCCUUCGGGGUUCGGUGUCCGCGGUCGUUGGGAGCGUAGUCCUGGUAGGCUAGCGCACAGGGGUGACACGGAAUGGGAGCCGGCCGCGGAGGUGGUUUUCCGUGGUCAAGCACGCAGCCCGUCCCAUAGGCAAAUCCGUGGGGCAUGUAGGGUGAGGUGUGAUGAUGGGCGUCUUUAUGGCGCGAUAUCCGGUGGUCCAGGCCGUCGAGAAAAGCCUCGGCGCGAGGGGCGUCGCCGCCCGUACCCCAAACCGACACUGGUGGUCAGGUAGAGAAUACCAAGGCGAUCGAGCGAAUCCUGGUCAAGGAACUCGGCAAAUCACUCCCGUGCCUUCGGUAUAAGGGAGACCCCCGGGCGUGAAGAGGCUUGCCCUCGGAGCGUUGGGGGGUGGCACAGACCAGGGGGUAGCGACUGUUUACCAAAAACACAGGUGCAUGCGAAGGCGCAAGCCGCUGUAUAUGCACUGACGCCUGCCCGGUGCCGGAAGGUUAAGAGGAUCCGUCAGCCUUUUUGGGUGAAGCGGUGAAUUCAAGCCCCGGUAAACGGCGGUGGUAACUAUAACCAUCCUAAGGUAGCGAAAUUCCUUGUCGGGUAAGUUCCGACCUGCACGAAUGGCGUAACGACUUCCCCACUGUCUCGACCAGGAGCUCGGCGAAAUUGCAGUACGAGUAAAGAUGCUCGUUAAGCGCAGAAGGACGAAAAGACCCCGGGACCAUUACUAUACCUUGGUAUUGGCGUUAGGCGCGGAUUGUGUAGCAUAGGCGGGAGGCUUCGAAGCGUGGGCGCCAGCCCGUGUGGAGCCGCAAGGUGAAAUACCGCUCUGUUCUCGUUUGACGUCUCACCUCGAACAGUCAUCCUGUUCAGGGACAGUGCCUGGCGGGUAGUUUAACUGGGGCGGUUGCCUCCCAAAGAGUAACGGAGGCGCUCAAAGGUCCGCUCAGCCCGGUUGGCAAUCGGGUUUCGAGUGUAAUCGCACAAGCGGGCUUGACUGCGAGAACGACGGUUCGGGCAGGGACGAAAGUCGGAGAUAGUGAUCCGGUGCCGGCGCACGGGCGCGGCAUCGCUCAACGGAUAAAAGGUACCCCGGGGAUAACAGGCUGAUCAUUCCCAAGAGCCCAUAUCGACGGAAUGGUUUGGCACCUCGAUGUCGGCUCGUCGCAUCCUGGGGCUGGAGCAGGUCCCAAGGGUUCGGCUGUUCGCCGAUUAAAGCGGCACGCGAGCUGGGUUCAGAACGUCGUGAGACAGUUUGGUCUCUAUCCUCUGCGCUCGUUGGAAUCCUGAGGAGGCCUGCCCAUAGUACGAGAGGACCUGGGUGGACGGACCUCUGGUAUGCCGGUUGUCGCGCCAGCGGCAUGGCCGGUUGGCUACGUUCGGGAGGGAUAACCGCUGAAAGCAUCUAAGCGGGAAGCCUGCUCCAAGAUUAGGAUUCCUUGACGCUCCCCGGAGCGUCCGAAGCCCGCAUGUUGAACACGUGUUCGAUAGGCCGGAGGUGGAAGCCCCGCGAGGGGUGGAGCCGACCGGUACUAACGGACGAAAGGCAACACUA
rnacentral:rRNA from 1 species